GGUGAGGUGUCCGAGUGGCUGAAGGAGCACGCCUGGAAAGUGUGUAUACGGCAACGUAGCGGGGGAUCAAUCCCCCCCUCACCGCCA
rnacentral:tRNA from 1 species